rnacentral:rRNA from 1 species
GGAAACAGGUGCUAAUACCGUAUAACACUAUUUUCCGCAUGGAAGAAAGUUGAAAGGCGCUUUUGCGUCACUGAUGGAUGGACCCGCGGUGCAUUAGCUAGUUGGUGAGGUAACGGCUCACCAAGGCCACGAUGCAUAGCCGACCUGAGAGGGUGAUCGGCCACACUGGGACUGAGACACGGCCCAGACUCCUACGGGAGGCAGCAGUAGGGAAUCUUCGGCAAUGGACGAAAGUCUGACCGAGCAACGCCGCGUGAGUGAAGAAGGUUUUCGGAUCGUAAAACUCUGUUGUUAGAGAAGAACAAGGAUGAGAGUAGAACGUUCAUCCCUUGACGGUAUCUAACCAGAAAGCCACGGCUAACUACGUGCCAGCAGCCGCGGUAAUACGUAGGUGGCAAGCGUUGUCCGGAUCUAUUGGGCGUAAAGCGAGCGCAGGCGGUUUCUUAAGUCUGAUGUGAAAGCCCCCGGCUCAACCGGGGAGGGUCAUUGGAAACUGGGAGACUUGAGUGCAGAAGAGGAGAGUGGAAUUCCAUGUGUAGCGGUGAAAUGCGUAGAUAUAUGGAGGAACACCAGUGGCGAAGGCGGCUCUCUGGUCUGUAACUGACGCUGAGGCUCGAAAGCGUGGGGAGCGAACAGGAUUAGAUACCCUGGUAGUCCACGCCGUAAACGAU